CAAAAAGUAUAUAGGAUACGUACAUACAUAAAUAAAUAAAUACAUAACAA
rnacentral:sRNA from 1 species